rnacentral:rRNA from 1 species
AAAUUGAAGAGUUUGAUCAUGGCUCAGAUUGAACGCUGGCGGCAGGCCUAACACAUGCAAGUCGAACGGUAACAGGAAUCAGCUUGCUGAUUCGCUGACGAGUGGCGGACGGGUGAGUAAUGUCUGGGAAACUGCCUGAUGGAGGGGGAUAACUACUGGAAACGGUAGCUAAUACCGCAUAACGUCGCAAGACCAAAGAGGGGGACCUUCGGGCCUCUUGCCAUCGGAUGUGCCCAGAUGGGAUUAGCUAGUAGGUGGGGUAACGGCUCACCUAGGCGACGAUCCCUAGCUGGUCUGAGAGGAUGACCAGCCACACUGGAACUGAGACACGGUCCAGACUCCUACGGGAGGCAGCAGUGGGGAAUAUUGCACAAUGGGCGCAAGCCUG